rnacentral:rRNA from 1 species
GACGAACGCUGGCGGCGUGCUUAACACAUGCAAGUCGAACGGAAAGGCCCUGCUUUUGUGGGGUGCUCGAGUGGCGAACGGGUGAGUAACACGUGAGUAACCUGCCCUUGACUUUGGGAUAACUUCAGGAAACUGGGGCUAAUACCGGAUAGGAGCUCCUGCUGCAUGGUGGGGGUUGGAAAGUUUCGGCGGUUGGGGAUGGACUCGCGGCUUAUCAGCUUGUUGGUGGGGUAGUGGCCUACCAAGCCUUCGACGGGUAGCCGGCGUGAGAGGGUGGCCGGCGACAAUGGGAGGGCGAUACGGCCGAGAAUACUACGGGAGGCAGCAGUGGGGAAUAUUGCACAAUGGGCGGAAGCAGGAUGAAGCAACGCCGCGUGGGGGAUGAUGGCCUUCGGGUGGUAGACCACUGUCGGCGCCGACGAAGAGUAAGUGAUGGCAGUGGUAGAAGAAGCACCGGCGAAUUACGUG